AUUGAACGCUGGCGGCAGGCUUAACACAUGCAAGUCGAGCGGGGGAGGUUGCUUCGGUAACUGACCUAGCGGCGGACGGGUGAGUAAUGCUUAGGAAUCUGCCAUUUAGUGGGGGACAACAUUCCGAAAGGAAUGCUAAUACCGCAUACGUCCUACGGGAGAAAGCAGGGGAUCUUCGGACCUUGCGCUAAAUGAUGAGCCUAAGUCGGAUUAGCUAGUUGGUGGGGUAAAGGCCUACCAAGGCGACGAUCUGUAGCGGGUCUGAGAGGAUGAUCCGCCACACUGAGACUGAGACACGGCCCAGACUCCUACGGGAGGCAGCAGUGGGGAAUAUUGGACAAUGGGCGGAAGCCUGAUCCAGCCAUGCCGCGUGUGUGAAGAAGGCCUUAUGGUUGUAAAGCACUUUAAGCGAGGAGGAGGCUACUAGUAUUAAUACUACUGGAUAGUGGACGUUACUCGCAGAAUAAGCACCGGCUAACUCUGUGCCAGCAGCCGCCGUAA
rnacentral:rRNA from 1 species